UCUCUGGCAGUCCAGUGGUUAGGACUCAAUGCUUUCACUGCUGGGGGCCUGGGUUUAAACCCUGGUCAGGGAA
rnacentral:tRNA from 1 species